UACAGAGGGCCCAAGCGUUGUUCGGAUGCACUGGGCGUAAAGGGGGCGUAGGUGGCUUGGUAAGUUCGAUGUGAAAUCUCCGGGCUUAACCCGGAAAUGGCAUUGAAUACUAUUGAGCUGGAGGUUUGGAGGGGGGACUGGAAUUCUCGGUGUAGCAGUGAAAUGCGUAGAUAUCGAGAGGAACACCAGUGGCGAAGGCGAGUCCCUGGACAACACCUGACACUGAGGCACGAAAGCUAGGGGAGCAAACAGG
rnacentral:rRNA from 1 species